GGCACUUACUGAGGUACUAAAGCUUAGGACUUUGACAGAUGAGUUCUGGGGGGUGUGGUUGAGCCCUCACACAUGUAAUUGGCCCCCUCCACACUUUCAUGCCUGGACUAAUAACAUAAUAACAAUUGACCCCACGUGUCAGGGACUGUGCUAGGGGUUUUACACAUUUCAACUUAUCUGUCACAUCUGGUCUGGCAGGCAGGUACUGUUAUUACCUCCAUUACCUUCAGAUGAAGUGAGGCUCAAGGCAGUUGAAUAACUGCCCGCUAAAACGCGAGCUCUAACCGCGGCACCCGCACAGUGCCUGACCCUGCCGAGAUGGACAGGUAGACAGACCCAGCGUCCUCCAGGCAUCAACAUCAAUGCAGCUGCAAGUUCCGGGGCCGCAGCUGGAAAGGAAGGGGCAAGCGUGGUUCUGCGUCUCAUCUGGGCCCCAGAGUGACAUUUCUAAAGCGCAAGUCUGGUUGUCACUUUCCUCAUGUAAAGCCCUUCAAGGUCACCCACUGUCCUCUGAAUAAAGCCCACGCUUCCGGCCAGCCGCAGUGGUUCACCCCUGUAAUCCCAGCACUUUGGGAGGCCAAGGAGGGCAGAUCAUGA
rnacentral:lncRNA from 10 species